AGCGAGUUAAGUUUAAGUUUAAUUAAUGUGCCACAUUGGAUUCGUUUGGAAUCGCUCGCCCCUUAAAUUGUCACGAUAUUACCCUGCGUCUAAUACGAAUCCCAUGCGGUAACGAACCCUCGUUGUCUGUCCGAAAUUUUCUCCGAUUCAAACCAGGUGUCGUUUCGUUUCCGUUCCUACGGAAAUUAUACGGUUAUUAGCUAAUCAUGAUAAGUCACAUUUUUCGAGACUAGUAAUUAACUACCCUUCCAGUUUUUCUACUGGAAUAUUUCUAUGUAUUGCCGAUUUAAAACACGGUAGAGUAACAAUGUAUAAAGUACUCGUAAUUAUUAGUGCCGGAAUUUUACUGGCAGUUAUGUAAAGAGGAUGAUUUAUUAAUAUUCAUUCCAGCGCGAACGUACGGAGAUUAAUGAGCUACGCGGAAUAUUUUGUGCCUCGUCAUUUACGCGGCAUUUUUAGGUUCUAAACGAUCGAAAUCGCGUGAUCGAUAGACGACGUAUCGAAUUUCAAUACAUAAUUGCGCGUCGCCAGCGCCACCCAGUUACACACCGUGAGUCGAUAUGUUUUCAUUUACCGGAUUCUCGCUCCGCAUUUCUCGUCACGUAUAUUUUUACGUAUUAUCGUUAAACCGGAAUAUAUCGCGCGUUAUUUUCUCUCAAACGAUACGAAGCGUUACAAUAAAUUGUUUCGAGCGCUUAUCUCAAUAAUGACGACGAUAUUUGCGAUUCUAAGAGUCACAUCAUAUUGGUGGCAUAAAUGACGGAAUUUCUAUUUUGUAGCAAGUGUCAUGUAUAUAUCAGUGUUUCGUGUUCGCGUCGUAUCUUGAGAAUCUCUAUUUCGAAAAUCGAAUCUCGGUCAGGAGUAUCGUAGUGUGAAAGUGGAUUACUGGUUACGUAUUUAUGACAAAAUGUGACGAACCGUGAUUAUGGAAGAGCUUGCGAUCCAUGGGGACUCUUAACGUUGGCUUUGAUCAUCUUACAACAAGCAACAGGUUCUCCAUGUUUGUACUUCUCAGACGACACAACGAGAAAGCCAACGACGCGAGUCACGAGGACAUCUACGAGAGAAGAGCACGAGGGAAACUGCUUCCGAGACAAUUGAUCGACGACGAGUAAGCGGAUGCAACCGUGAAGGACGGUAUCCAUUUGUUGCGUAUCAGUGUAGGGCAAGUGUUGCACACUUGCGAUAUAAAACAUCGCGAUACAAGCAUCAUUUUUCGUCGUCACGUCAAAGGAACGAUAGGCUAAGAUGGACUUAUUUCAGUCAGCCAAGCUUCAUCUUAAAAUUCAACUUUAAAUAAUUGAGUUUGUUAUAUUUUAAGUAAGUUAGUUCUUAAUAUAAUAACGAAAGAAUGGGAAAGAACCCUGCGAGUACUUUAGGUUCAGCAUGAGAAAAUAACUCAAAUAACUCUAUGGCAGAGUUAGCUCUACGACGGGUCAAACAAUCUGCAUCGCCCAAAAACGUUUCAUAACUAAAUUUGAUCGCUCUAUCGGACAAAUUGUUUAGCUUAACUCAAAUAUCCGAAUUCAGAAUCAAUUUGGAGCGUAUCAUUUUUCCGUUCCUACGGGCGUGUCUUCCACGUCAGACCUUCUCUUUCCUUUUUAAUACGUACAUGAUGAACAAAAUUGUACAUCGUUGCACAAUAUCUUAUCGCUGGAUGAUGCACACAACGAAUAUACGCAACGGAUGGAUACGGAACUCGAGAAGAGUGGAGAUGAAAAUGGUCGAAGAAGACGGCGAGGAGGCGAGCAGUUGGGGGAUGACGUCUUCAAAAGUAAUUCGAUAAUCGUUAGAGGAUUCCACUCUACGAGAUCGUUACCGAUUAAUCAAUCACUCGAUCCGUUUUUUACGGGGAUUUGGUUACGUUUAGCAUUCUGGUUCAAAGGUGGAGAAACGAGAGAAGAGUCUGGUGAAUGAAAAGAUGGACUAUGAAAACGAAGCAUCUUGUCGCAACGUAACGUAAAUUUUUCUUGGGAAUGGAGGUGAUCCGCAGGUUUCAACGAUGUAGAUGUGUGGCGGCACUUGUGACAUCAACCACAUCUCAAUCCACAUCAGAGACCAGGCCACACACCGCAGUUUUACUACUUCCUGUGGAAUAUCUUUCCAAAUACCUACGACGAUCCUUCGCAAGUAGUCAAAUAAGCGUCACCCGAAUACGAAUGAUGCCGCCCAAUCAGAAACUUUGCUAUCGUCGGAAUAUGGAUGACGUGGCAGUCAACGUAUUAACAGUGUGAGUUGAGAAGUCAGAGAGUGUUGUCAGCAUUGUGAGAGAGUGUGGUCCGCGUGAAAGAGAGCGUUGGAACCGUGGU